rnacentral:rRNA from 1 species
CAGGGGUGCCUACGGCAAGAAUGGUGACUGGGACGAAGUCGUAACAAGGUAGCCGUAGGAGAACCUGCGGCUGGAUCACCUCCUUU